rnacentral:rRNA from 1 species
UAGUCCACGCCGUAAACGAUGUAUGCUAGAUGUCUGGACUUCGGUCUGGGUGUCGGAGCUAACGUAUUAAGCAUACCGCCUGGGGAGUACGGUCGCAAGAUUAAAACUCAAAGGAAUUGACGGGGACCCGCACAAGCGGCGGAGCAUGUGGUUUAAUUCGAAGCAACGCGCAGAACCUUACCAACCCUUGACAUACCUGUCGCGGGUAAAGAGAUUUACCUUUCAGCUCGGCUGGACAGGAUACAGGUGCUGCAUGGCUGUCGUCAGCUCGUGUCGUGAGAUGUUGGGUUAGGUCCCGCAACGAGCGCAACCCUUGUCUUUAGUUGCCAUCAUUUAGUUGGGCACUCUAGAGAAACUGCCGGUGACAAACCGGAGGAAGGUAAGGAUGACGUCAAGUCAGCAUGCCCCUUACGCUCUGGGCUACACACGUGCUACAAUGGUCGUGACAAGAGUUGCUAGUCUGCGAAGGCAAGCCAAUCUCAUAAACGCGGCCUUAGUUCGGA